rnacentral:rRNA from 1 species
UACGAAGGGUGCAAGCGUUGCUCGGAAUUACUGGGCGUAAAGAGCGCGUAGGCGGUUAUCCAAGUCAGGGGUGAAAUCCCGGAGCUUAACUCCGGAACUGCCUUUGAAACUGUAUAGCUGGAGUAUGUGAGGGGAUAGCGGAAUUCCUAAUGUAGAGGUGAAAUUCGUAGAUAUCGUAAGGAAGACCAGUGGCGAAGGCGAAUCUCUGGACAGUUACUGACACUGAGGCACGAAGGCCAGGGGAGCAAACGGG